AUAAAACUGACUUUCUGCAUCCAAGUCACAAUUGCAAAACUCCUAUCUGUUUUCUGUGUUUCGUAUUUCAUCAAUGAUGUAUGCUACAAUUUUUAAAAGGAAAAAAGUUGGGGGGGAGCAUUUUUUUUUUCUUUAACUGAAUUCAUUGAUUAAAUGGCAUUUAAUAAAUACUGUCCAAAAGUUUCAAUUCCAAACUCAAAUUUCAAACCCAUACUAGCUGACUUGAAAUGCAGUUACAUAGAAAUGUAAAACUGCCAUAUGUUUAUUCUACAUGUGAUCUAUCCUGCGUCUACCUCAGAGCUGACCUGUCCAGUAAUUGCUCUACGUAUGCCAGUGUAGAUUUAACUCUUUAAACCAUUUUUCUCUUUCUGAGAUCUUUGUUUGCAUUUGUUAGAUACGAAUUUGAGGUGAAUGUAUGCUUUAAUGAGAGACAGCAGGGUUAACCCGUAACAAAGAUCUGCUGGUAAAUAUAUGGUUGGCACCAGAAGAGACAGUUUAAACCUCAAAAUUUUGAGUCUGUCACAACAACUGAGUUGAAUAUUUUCAUUUGUCUCCAUGUCCUCUCCUUGCACUUCCAAGCUCGGUCAUUGCAAGUGCUGACAAUUCCCAAGGUCCUGUGCUGGGUUCUGGUGCGCGCUCACCAGUGCAGCCAACUGGAGGAUGCUGCAUUCUGAUCGUGGGAACACUGAAAAUGCUCACUAAUAGGCAUCUCUCGUUUCAUCUGACACCGUUCUUCAAACAGAAGCCUGCAGGUUAUUGACGAAGACAUCCUGUUGUUUGGGAUCCUGAGAUUUGUCUUCAUUUUUAGGUACUUCAAAGAUUUCUGUCUGCAGCUCUACUUUGUUUGGAUUUUCUGCCUCUGUGAAAGUAGUAUGUUCAGCGUCUGACACCUGGGUUGACUUUGUACAGUAGACUGAGUUGAAGUGGAAACAACAGCUCCUAUUUCAGAAAACCAAAUUGUUGUGCUUUUGCCCAGGAAAGUGGAAAUUACAAGAGAAAAGCAUCAAAGACAAAAGAGGCAAAUGAGGAGAAGUGGAAUUUAAUUUCUCAUAGCUGAAGCUGCUUGGGUGGACCCUGUCUCUACUGCUGGAGCAACCAUGUUGUAGACAGCAGGAUUAAAAAUUUCUUUUCUCCCCUGUAAUUAAAGAAUUGAUUAUUUUUAAGUUUCUCUGAA